rnacentral:lncRNA from 1 species
CCCGUCCUACCUGUAGUGGUGAUGCUAGAAACUUCUUGUUUGGACACCCAACCUGCCUAGCGCUCACCUAGGGCGCAUAGACAGUAGACGGAGUGAAGAAGAUAAAGUCUAUUGGUUGCAAGACAACUUGAGUGAUUUGGCUCCGCGAAACACCAGGUGAAGUCAAAAUAAGUCUUUCCCCCAAAGGAACCGUUUUACCUCGACUUUUUAUCUCAUGGAGAGUCCUUUUCAACAUGGUUCAAAGGAGUUGGAUGGAAGUGUAAUCUCACUACUCAUCGGUUCUAGAUCUGCCACUUCCAAUUAGAUCUACAGUAGGGGCGGGGGAGAGGAGAUCGGGCAGCGAUUCUAACUUUUGCCUUUCGGAGAUACAGUGGCGGGGCAGGCCAAACGGCAUCUCUGCAGAGAGAAGCCGCUAAAUAAGCACCGUCCUUUAAGUAGAAUUUCUCCUUCCGGUCCAGAUCCCAGUCCACAGUCCACAUGUAUGCCUCAGUUUCUUUGACUGAUCCACAAUUAGAACU